rnacentral:lncRNA from 1 species
GGCUGAGGCACGAGCGAUAGACAGUCGUCAGGAGAUGGACCUGGCGCUGGACAACAGGGCCAAACUGAAUGAUGAGCUGCAGCAGCUCAAGAAAGAGCACACAGAUGUUCAGCUCUUGUUAGCCAAAGCAGAGAAGAACUACUUUGAGACCAAGCUGAAGCUGGACAGAAUAUCCUCUGAGAAGCAGGUUCUGCUGGAGGAGAACCGAGGACUGGAAGAGGAGAGGAACAACCUGCGGCACCGGCUGAAGGGACUGACAGAGGAGAAUGUGAAGAUCAAAGAGAAGGAGGUGAGCUCCAGACGCAGAGCUCUUGCUGCAGAGGAGCAGAGCGAGAGGUCCAGCAAAGCCCAGCAGGAGGCCGAGCAGGGGCGGAGGGUGGCGGAGGAGGAGCGGGAGCACCGCACCAGUGAGUGCCUGGGCUGGAGGGAGAAGCACCAGGCUGCGGAGAACAUCCUCAGGGCUCAGGAGGACCUCAGGGCCCAGCGGAGGAACAAAGCAUGUCAGGCAAACAUCAAGAACUACUUCCUGUGCAUGACUGAAAGUGACCAGAGGGUUAAAAUCCUGAAGAACUCAGAUGGGGCUCCAAGGAACUUCACGGUAAUGUGUCGUUUGACAAAAACAUGGUUCAGAGAGGCAAAUGUAUUCUUUGCAACAUCCAGGUAUGCGGGCUGA